UACGUAGGGUGCGAGCGUUUGUCCGGAAUUAUUGGGCGUAAAGAGCUUGUAGGCGGUCUGUCGCGUCUGCUGUGAAAAUCCGGGCUCAACCUCGAGACGCCGAUGGAAACCCCCUGACUAGAGUCCGGAAGAGGAGAGUGGAAUCCUGGUGUAGCGGUGAAAUGCGCAGAUAUCAGGAAGAACACCCGUGGCUAAGGCGGCUCUCUAGUACGGUACUGACGCUGAGGAGCGAAAGCGUGGGGAGCGAACAGG
rnacentral:rRNA from 1 species